CGGACGGGUGAGUAACGCGUGAGAAUCGGCCCUCAGGUUGGGGACAACCAYUGGAAACGRUGGCUAAUACCGAAUAAGCCGWRAGGUGAAAGAUUWAUUGCCUGGRGAAGAGCUCGCGUCUGAUUAGCUAGUUGGURGGGUAAARGCCUACCAAGGCWYCGAUCAGUAACUGGUCUGAGAGGAUGRCCAGUCACACUGGGACUGAGACACGGCCCAGACUCCUACGGGAGGCAGCAGUGGGGARUUUUCCGCAAUGGGCGMAAGCCUGACGGAGCAAUACCGCGUGGGGGAGGAAGGCUCUUGGGUCGUAAACCUCUUUUCUCAGGGAAGAAHNMAAUGACGRUACCUGAGGARUCAGCAUCGGCUAACUCCGUGCCAGCAGCCGCGGUAAUACGGAGGAUGCAAGCGUUAUCCGGAAUGAUUGGGCGUAAAGCGUCCGCAGGUGGCMGUGUAAGUCUGCUGUCAAAGGUCAGGGCUYAACCCUGAACAGGCAGUGGAAACUACACAGCUAGAGUGCGGUGGGGGCAGAGGGAAUUCCCAGUGUAGCGGUGAAAUGCGUAGAGAUUGGGAAGAACACCGGUGGCGAAAGCGCUCUGCUAGGCCGYAACUGACRCUCAUGGACGAAAGCUAGGGGAGCGAAUGGGAUUAGAUACCCCAGUAGUC
rnacentral:rRNA from 1 species